GCUCACACGGGAGCCCCUCCUCCCCUCAGCUUCACUCCAUCACCCUCCUCCCUCACCAGCGUUAGCGAACAUUUACUGAAUGUUCACCGUAGCCAGGCUCUGGAAAGCGCUUUAGAACAGCCCCGUUUGACAGCUGAGGAGACCGAACCCGAACCUAAAGGAGACAGACUUGGGGUUGAACCCCGGCGGGCUUUGCCUGGAGCUGCGGAAACCGAGAGCCGGGGGAGUGGGUGGGGCCCGGGAGGGGCGGUCCAAUCAGAAGAGACAGAUGACCCGCCCACAGACCCCCGGCCAAACCCUGCUGGGCCGGUGGUUUUCAGGUGUAUUCGCUUCACUCACUGGUUUAACGGAGUUUCGUCGAGCUUGUGCUCUGAGGCGGGACCAGAGUUGGGCAAGCCCCGCCCCCAUCCUCCAUCCUCGCCCCUCCCCCGGCUCAGCGAGCCCCGCCCCGCCCUGAGACCGCAGGCGUGCGCAGGUGGCCGGCCGGCGCGGCAGGUACGGUGGUGGGAGCAGGCGUGGAGGUUAGGGGCGUUCGUCCUGCCUCGAGUGGGCAGGUGUCCCGGCUCAAGGCAGGCCCAGAGGGACCGCCGAGAUCAUCCAGUGCAACCCCUGCACUUACCAAGGAGAAAGUCCAUGCAGGCAUUUUCUCUGGAGUGUGAACCUCGCACGGGACCUGCCAGGGGAGGCAUGUGUGUACACCUACGCAUGCUGUCUCCUGGAGCUUCAAGAUGCUGUCUCUUGGCGUUGGACUCAGGCCUCCCUCCCGUUGCUGAAGCAGAAUCAAGAAACCUCAGGUCAAGGAGCUGGAGCCCUUCUGUAUGUCUGAGCCUUGAUGUACUCAUCUGAGAAGUGGGAGCAGAGACUGGGCUGAGGGCUGUGUGGGUGGAGCUCCAAUGUCUGAAUGUUGCUGCGGUGAGGCCAGGAGAGGGGUGGAGGUGCCGGAGGUGUCGAGGUACCUGGUAAGGGGUGAGGGGGGAUACAGAGGUGUGAGGACGGGGUCUGCAGACUGAGCGGUGCAUUGGAGGUGGAGGGGCAGGUCUGGGAGUGGGAGAGGUGCUGGUGGGGGCUGGCGUGUGGCAGGGCUGCACGGGCAUGUGCUGGGUGCAGGGUGAGCAUGCCAGCUCUCCUGGCCCUGGCACUCUUUGGCCUCUGCUCCCCCCACGCUGCCCCCUUGCUGCGCCUCAUGGGCACCAGACCGGCUCCCACCUCAAGGCCUUUGUGUUCUGUCCUCUCUGCCUGGCGUGCUUUCCCCCGGAUGUCCACCUGCUCUGUCUCCUCCUUCGCGUCUUUGCUGCAAGGUCCCCUCUUGUGAGGUCUUCCCUGACCACCCUCUUUAAUGCUGUAGCCCCACCCCCUCCUCCCUCUCUGACUUAAUUUCUUUUCAUGGCACUUGUCACCAUCUUUCAUAUAUUUUAUGUAUUUUGUUUAUUGUCUAUCUCCUUCCAUUGGAAUCUAAGCUGCAUGAGGGUAGAGACUUCUGUUUUGUUUUUUUACUGUGGUAAAGCAUGCAUAAUAUUUAUCAUUUGAAUCAUGUGUAAGGGUACACUUCAGUGGCAUUAGAUACGUUUGCAAUGUUGCGUAACCAUCACCACUGUCUAUAUCCGAGGCUUUUUCAUGAUCCCCAACAUAAAGUCCAUACCCAUUAAACAAUAACUCCCCGUUCCCUCCUUCCCCCACCUCCUGGUAACCCCUAUUCUGCUUUGUCUCUGAAUUUGCCUAUUCUGGGUAUCUCAUAUAAGUGGAAUCAUACAACAUAUCCUUCUGUGUCUGGCUUAUUUUACUUAGCAUAUGUUUUCAAGAUCCAUAUAAGUUGUAGCAUGUAUUGGAAUCUCAUUCCUUUUUAUGG
rnacentral:lncRNA from 1 species